rnacentral:lncRNA from 1 species
AUGUCGUGCCAACUCCUCUGUCCAUGGGGUUCUCCAGGCAAGAAUACUGGAAUGGGUUGCCAUUUUCUUCUCCUGUCUGCAGGGAGGUGUGGACCAAACACGCUGCAGCUACAUCACAGGUCUGCGUCACAAUUGCCAGGUACUAUUUCCUUGUCAUACCAGAGGUGCCGUUUUAUAGUCUAUUCCCCCAUUCCCACAUUAAAUUACACCCAUGUAAUAUGUCUGUGGUUCCAAAUAGGAAAAGGAGUAUGUCAAGGCUGUAUAUUGUCACCCUGCUCAUUUAACUUAUAUGCAGAGUACAUCAUGAGAAACGCUGAACUAGAAGAAACACAAGCUGGAAUCAAGAUUGCCAGGAGAAAUAUCAAUAACCUCAGAUAUGCAGAUGACACCACCCUUAUGGCAGAAUGCGAAGAGGAGCUAAAAAGCCUCUUGAUGAAAGUGAAAGAGGAGCAUGAAAAAGUUGGCUUAAAGCUCAACAUUCAGAAAACGAAGAUCAUGGCAUCCGGUCCCAUCACUUCAUGGGAAAUAGAUGGGGAAACAGUGGAAACAGUGUCAGACUUUAUUUUGGGGGGCUCCAAAAUCACUGCAGAUGGUGAGUACAGCCAUGAAAUUAAAAGACGCUUGCUCCUUGGAAGAAAAGUUAUGACCAACCUAGAUAGUAUAUUCAAAAGCAGAGACAUUACUUUGCCGACUAAGGUCCGUCUAGUCAAGGUUAUGGUUUUUCCAAUGGUCGUGUAUGGAUGUGAGAGUUGGACUGUGAAGAAGGCUGAGCGCCGAAGAAUUGAUGCUUUUGAACUGUGGUGUUGGAGAGGACUUUUGAGAGUCCCUUGGACUGCAAGGAGAUGCAACCAGUCCAUUCUGAAGGAGAUCAGCCCCGGGAUUUCUUUGGAAGGAAUGAUGCUAAAGCUGAAGCUCCAGUACUUUGGCCACCUCAUACAAAGAGUUGACUCAUUGGAAAAGGCUUUGAUGCUGGGAGGGAUUGUGGGCAGGAGGAGAAGGGGACAAUCGAGGAUGAGAUGGCUGGAUGGCAUUACUGACUCGAUGGACGUGAGUCUGAGUGAACUCCCUGAGAUGGUGAUGGACAGGGAGGCCUGGCGUGCUGCUAUUCAUGGGGUUGCAAAGAGUCGGACACGACUGAGCGACUGGACUGAACUGAACUGA